rnacentral:rRNA from 1 species
UACGUAGGAGGCAAGCGUUAUCCGGAAUGACUGGGCGUAAAGGGUGCGUAGGUGGUUUGGCAAGUUAGUAGCGUAACCCCGGGGCUCAACCUCGGAACUACUACUAAAACUGUUGGACUUGAGUGCAGGAGGGGCAAUUGGAAUUCCUAGUGUAGCGGUGGAAUGCGUAGAUAUUAGGAGGAACAUCGGUGGCGUAAGCGCUUUACUGGGCCGUAAUUGACGCUGAGGAACGAAAGCCAGGGUAGCAAAUGGG